UAUAUAUAUAUAUAUAUAUACUUAGAUUUAAUAUUUGUUGUGCAGGCUCUACUCAAAUUUUAUAUAUAUAUAUGCGUAUUUGAUUAUUUCGUAGCUCAGAUUUCUAGAAAACAAAUUUUUGAAAAUUUCCGAAACCAUAAAUCAACAAAAUUGUUUGGUAUAUUCUUUGAGAAACAUGUUAUGUUAAUGUAACAAAUGGUGUAAUUAUUCGCUUUAAUUCAUAUACACGUAGUAUUUUGAGAAUAAUUUAUUUGACCUUAGAAGUUUAAUCAAUAACGAUCCAAUUGCAGUAAAAUCACUACUGCAAUGUAUUAAAAUAUCUGGAGUAUUAUAUUGAGUAUUUUUCUUUUUUUUUUUUUUUUUUUUUUUUUUUUUUUUUUUUUUUUUUUUUUUUUUUCUUUUCUUUUUGUUAGUAUAAUAAGACAGACACAUAUACACAGUACUUAUAACCAAAUUCGAAAAUUUCAAUAUAGAAUGAUCAUCAAAACCAAAUAUUUUGUUUUAAGUGAAGAUAAUAACAAAUUAGAGAGACAUAUAUUAAAGUUCAAUAAUUCAGAUUAUUUUUUUUUUUUUCUUAAUUAUCAUAGAGGUACUGCGACUUUGUAAUUGUUGUUAUUAUAAUUUAUAAUUUUUAUUAUAUCUAGUUUUAUUAAUUUUUAAUCAUAUUAGAAUAUAAGCAAUAUUAUAUAUAUCUGGUAAUUCCCAAUCGAUUAACUUUGGAGAGUUCUUGCUAAUAAAUGUGUUCUUUAGUGUUGACUUGAUAACAGACAAAGUUGAAAAUGAAAAAAAAAAAAAAAUACAAAAAAAUACAAAAAAAAUGUAAAAUAUUAAAAAAUCAUAAAAAAUGUUCAUAGCUUAGUAGAAAUAUAUAUAUAUAGAGAGAGAGAGAGAGAAAGAGAGAGAGAAAAGAGAGAAAAGAGAGAAAAGAGAGAAAAAAAGAGGUAAGUGAAGAAUGACGGAUUAUUAUGUGUUAAAUUCAUUCAAAGUAAUCAAGAGAAUCUACUAAAAGAUUUUAAAUUGGAAGAACAAGUCUAUAUACGUUUUAUUCCGUCAGUUAGUAUUAUAUAUUCAUACACACUUGACCACCUAAAAAGUAUAUGUAUGCUACAUUUAUUAUUCAUACAUGAAAAAUGAUUGCUAAAUAAAAAUUGAAUAAAACACAUUAUGUCGUUA